AGCGAACGCUGGCGGCAGGCCUAACACAUGCAAGUCGAACGAACCCUUCGGGGUUAGUGGCGGACGGGUGAGUAACACGUGGGAACGUGCCUUUAGGUUCGGAAUAACUCUGGGAAACUUGUGCUAAUACCGAAUGUGCCCUUCGGGGGAGAGAUUUAUCGCCUUUAGAGCGGCCCGCGUCUGAUUAGCUAGUUGGUGAGGUAAUGGCUCACCAAGGCUACGAUCAGUAGCUGGUCUGAGAGGAUGACCAGCCACAUUGGGACUGAGACACGGCCCAAACUCCUACGGGAGGCAGCAGUGGGGAAUCUUGCGCAAUGGGCGAAAGCCUGACGCAGCCAUGCCGCGUGGAUGAUGAAGGUCUUAGGAUUGUAAAAUCCUUUCACCGGUGAAGAUAAUGACUGUAGCCGGAGAAGAAGCCCCGGCUAACUUCGUGCCAGCCGCCGCGGUAAAAC
rnacentral:rRNA from 1 species